GGUGGCAUAUAGCAUGUUGCAUAGGGAUUGGUUCUUCUAAUGAGGUGGCAUGACGUUGCAUUAGUUCCUUUGAUGAGAUGGCAUGAUGUGGUCGGCUCCUUAUGCUUGACUUCAUCCUGGUUGGCGUGCUUCCAUUGGUUGGAGUGGUGGUGAGGUGGCUAGCUGAUGUUGAUGUGGAUGCCGAGAUGGUGCUCCAAGGGUGUGC
rnacentral:lncRNA from 1 species